AUGUCCCCUCCUGUCUGCUUUGAUCAAGGGGUGCCCGGCUCCGGCCCUGGAAGGUCCCGGGGGGCGACGCCACCCCCUGAGGUCCGGGUGCCUCACCGGGUCCACCAAGUCUUGGCUUUUCUGAUGACCAGGACUUCUGAGAGCCGGCAGUCCCUGACUUCCAAGGACGGGUCAGUGCUGCCCUGGGCCCCAGGGCUUCUUUGGGUAACUGCAGGUUCCUUCCCCCUGACCCCUGCACCCAUUUCCUCCCACCCACAUCCAUUUCCUCCCAUCCCCAUCCAUUUCCUCCCACCCGUGCCCACUUCCUCCCAUGUGCACACACUUCCUCCCACUUGCACCCCUUUUCCUCCCACCUGCCCCACUUCCUCCCAGCCGAGCCCGUUUCCUCCCGCCCACGCCCACAUCCUCCCACCCGCUCUCACUUCCUCCCACUUGCACCCCUUUUCCUCCCACCUGCACCCACAUCCUCCCACCUGUGCCCAUUUCCUCCCACCCGCUCCCACAUCCUCCCACGCGCGCCCACUUCCUCCCACUUGCACCCCUUUUCCUUCCACUUGCACCCACAUCCUCCCACCCGCGCCCAUUUCCUCCACCCGCGCCCACAUCCUCCCACCUGCGCCCACUUCCUCCCGCCCGCACCCCUUGCCCCUGCCGCCCCCAGCCUGCCCUCUGGGUGCCCGCACUGCUCGCCUUCCCAGCUUCUCUGUGGACGUGACAGCUGGGGUGCCCACGUCCUCAGGUUUCCGUGGGCCAAGCAAGCGGGGACGUGUUGGACAGAUGGGCGGCCUCUCUCCUGACGCCCGUUGCCUCAGCGUUCAAGGCUCCCGGCCCACACGCCUUCACCCUGAGAUGCCCGACUGCGGCUGCGGGCUCCAGCGAGGGAAGCAGAGCGCCCGACCCACGGCUCUUCUCCGGGCCGUUUGCUCAGUGGGGCCGCGCAGCCGUGGCAGGGCCAACCCUCCGCUCCUUCAUGGGACCGGCUUUUUCUGGGCAGCUGCCCUUGCUCAAACUCCAGGGAGGACAGGAGCCUUCUAG
rnacentral:lncRNA from 1 species